AGCGUGGACCUGGAAAGCGUGGAGGCGCGUGGCCAGGUGGGACUGUGUGAGUGAGCACAGCUGUGCCCCGGCACCUGCCUCCGUGAGCGUCAGGGGUAGGUUCAGUCAGCCCCAGGAGAGGCCGCCACUCACUCACUCACCCUUCAGGGGGGCCUUCCAGCGCCUCGUGCCUCUGAGCUGCCUCCUGGGGCCACCGCUGUCGCCUUCCUCACCCUCCCUGCUCCUGGAGCACCUGUCCAUCCACCCUCCUCCUCUCCUGCCCUGGUGCACUCCUCACCCCGACUUGGCUCUGUGCCCCUCUGUGAAGAACCCCUCCACCUGGACAGCUCCACACCCAAGCGCGGCCUCCAGGGGAGCCGGAGAACAGUCAGUGCCAGAGGCAGACAGGGAGGCGACACAGCAGAGAUGGACUAUAUGACUGAGAUAGCUUGAAGACUACUCUCUGAGGAGACCAGUGGCGAAGAGGGGCAACACCAGGCAAGGUGCAAGGACACAGGGCAGAUGGAAGGAGCGAUCACGAGCAAGAACAUGGAUAAGAAAGCAAUGUGAGCCCACCAAGAGGACAAAGUCUCAUCGGAGC